CCUACGGGUGGCUGCAGUGAGGAAUAUUGGUCAAUGGGCGCAAGCCUGAACCAGCCAAGUAGCGUGAAGGAUGACUGCCCUACGGGUUGUAAACUUCUUUUAUAAAGGAAUAAAGUGCGGCACGUGUGCCUUUUUGUAUGUACUUUAUGAAUAAGGAUCGGCUAACUCCGUGCCAGCAGCCGCGGUAAUACGGAGGAUCCGAGCGUUAUCCGGAUUUAUUGGGUUUAAAGGGAGCGUAGAUGGGUUGUUAAGUCAGUUGUGAAAGUUUGCGGCUCAACCGUAAAAUUGCAAUUGAUACUGGCAGGCUUGAGUACAGUUGAGGUAGGCGGAAUUCGUGGUGUAGCGGUGAAAUGCUUAGAUAUCACGCAGAACUCCGAUUGCGAAGGCAGCUUACUAAGCUGCCACUGACAUUGAUGCUCGAAAGUGUGGGUAUCAAACAGGAUUAGAUACCCGGGUAGUC
rnacentral:rRNA from 1 species